UAAAAAUGUGGGCGUGGAAUUAUUUUUCCUUUCGAAAGUUUAUUGUGUGAUAUCGAAAUGUGUUCUACCUUAGGAACGUAUUACGGAACCUACGGGCAUUGCACGGAUUCGUAAUGUAGUCGUUCACCUGUAAUUCAGUCAUGUCUAUUGGUCCAGACAUAAUAUAAUAUAAUUGUAAAAUCUGCACAGAAGAGCAUCUUCAUACCUCGACUACAUAAAGGCAAGCUACGGUUGUGAUCAAAUGUGAAAGAUCCCGGGUUCAAAUCCUACUCGUGCUAUAAGAGUUUGUAUACUAAUCUGACUUAUAUAUAGUUGCUUUAAUAAACUAUUAAUUGGUACCGGUGGAUAAAAAUAUCGUGAAGAAACUUGCACAAUUGUUGACAGUUUAAGUUCAAUAGUGUGUAUGCGAUUAUUUGCUACUAGUCGGAUGCCGUUAGGCGACUUGAAUAAAAUCUUCCACCAGUGUAAUUAACACACUCGAAAAGAAGGAAAUCAAGGUGCUGCAGAAUUAUUAUUUUUUUACAAGCCUUUAUGUAGUAUUUUAAAUAAUGCAACUUAAUUUUGAAUCAGAUAUUUUAGUGCUAUGUUUUAAAUUAUCACGAAAAUAAUUAAACUAUUUAAUGAUUAUAUGUUACUUGUGAAAUAAUGUAUAUA